rnacentral:rRNA from 1 species
GUCCACGCCGUAAACGAUGUGUGCUGGAUGUCGGGGGUAUUCACUCCCUCGGUAUCGAAGCUAACGCGAUAAGCACACCGCCUGGGGAGUACGGCCGCAAGGUUGAAACUCAAAGGAAUUGACGGGGGCCCGCACAAGCGGUGGAGUAUGUGGUUUAAUUCGACGCAACGCGAAGAACCUUACCCCAGCCUUGACAUCUCAGGAACCUGGUAGAAAUACCGGGGUGCCUCCGCAAGGAGGAGCCUGAAGACAGGUGCUGCAUGGCUGUCGU